rnacentral:rRNA from 1 species
UACGAAGGGUGCAAGCGUUACUCGGAAUUACUGGGCGUAAAGCGUGCGCAGGCGGUUGUGUAAGACAGAUGCGAAAUCCCCGGGCUCAACCUGGGAACUGCAUUUGUGACUGCACAGCUGGAGUGCGGCAGAGGGGGAUGGAAUUCCGCGUGUAGCAGUGAAAUGCGUAGAUAUGCGGAGGAACACCGAUGGCGAAGGCAAUCCCCUGGGCCUGCACUGACGCUCAUGCACGAAAGCGUGGGGAGCAAACAGG